rnacentral:rRNA from 1 species
GACGUAGGGGGCAAGCGUUGUCCGGAAUCAUUGGGCGUAAAGCGCUCGUAGGUGGAUCAGUAAGUCUGCAAAGAAAGACCUGGGCUCAACUCAGGGAACGGUGUGGAUACUAUUGAUCUUGAGGCAAUCAGAGGAUGAUGGAAUUCCCGGUGUAGCGGUGAAAUGCGUAGAUAUCGGAAGGAACGCCGGUGGCGAAAGCGACGUGCUGGACCUCAACUGACGCUGAGGCGCGAAAGCUAGGGGAGCAAACGGG